rnacentral:rRNA from 1 species
CACGUAGGGCGCAAGCGUUGUCCGGAAUUAUUGGGCGUAAAGAGCUCGUAGGCGGACUGUCACGUCUGCUGUGAAAAGCUGGGGCUUAACCCUGGCCUUGCAGUGGAUACGGGCAGACUAGAGGUAGGUAGGGGAGAAUGGAAUUCCCGGUGUAGCGGUGAAAUGCACAGAUAUCGGGAGGAACACCGGUGGCGAAGGCGGUUCUCUGGGCCUUACCUGACGCUGAGGAGCGAAAGCGUGGGGAGCGAACAGG